AUGAGCAGGAGAGAAGGAGGAUCAGAGAGGAGCUGCAGGGGUCUGCUGCCCUGAUGGAGGGGAGAGUGGAGCUGAAGGAGUGAGUAGAAGAGCUUGAGCACAAGUGCAUCCAAGGGGAGACAGGCCGUGCUGUCCACAUUCUUGCAACUCAGGCUGUCUCCUGGUCUUCGAAAGGUCCUUUUUGGCACGGCUCUUGGUUCGGUCGCCCUAGCCCUGGCUGCACACCAGCUAAAACGGCACAAGCACAAGAAGAAGCAGAUUACAGCAGGCAAUGGAGGCCUAAAGCUCGGCGGGGUGCCUGGCUCUGUUUUGCCCGUUAGGCAUUCUUCCUCAGCUAAAAAAGCAAAAGAAAACGAGAGAAACCACCGAGACCAACAAUGACUUGGAAGGAGCUACAGAGCCCAGUAUUUGGCAACUGAGUAAAAGUGCAUCAGGCAGCCGUAUCAAGCUCUGUGUAUGGCACUGAGGGGCGCUUGCGUCAUCUGAAUAAACAACUGCCUGCAGCAAAUGUGCCGAAAUCAGAAUGGGGCAAAAUCUUUCCCGAGCAGUGAGCCUAGCUGGUACGUAUUUACAUCAACCGCUUCUCUUACUGCGGCGGCUCUAUACAAUAGAGUGUUGGCACUGAAUGCACAGAGAUGGGUGGGUAUUGAGACGGCCAAUUCAUUACAAUAGAUUUUAUUCUCAGUGAAACA